rnacentral:lncRNA from 1 species
AAUCGUCUAGGCCGAAAACAACUCCAGCUAAACGCUGUCGUUUGUAUUAUUAACUCAAAACUUGUACUCCGGUGAACUCACCGGAAACAUUGAAUUAUUAUGUCCGGCGCCGAAUAGUUGGUGAGGUGAAGAGACUAUCUCCAGCAAUGGAAACGGAGGUUCAUCAACCAAAUUUCACCUACCUGGGACGAACAUUUAGCGGUCUCAAUAUUACUGAAUCCUCCUCAGCUUUCAGUGACUGCAACAGCGAUAGAUCCGGCGAGUUCCCGACGGCGUCUUCUCAAAGCCGGCGACUAUUAAUAGCAUGCGCGUCGGAGAACUCAGAUGAAUUAAUCCAGCAACUCGUCUCUGAUCUCGAGUCAAACUCAAUCGACGUGCAAAAGCAAGCGGCAAUGGAGCUUAGACUCUUAGCGAAGAACAAAUCGGAAAAUCGUCUCAAAAUCGCUCGAGCUGGAGCGAUUAAGCCUUUGAUUUCUCUUAUCUCUUCCACUGAUCUUCACCUUCAAGAGUACGGCGUUACCGCGAUUCUCAAUUUAUCUCUCUGUGAUGAAAAUAAGGAGCUCAUCGCAGCAUCAGG